UUUGGGCGCGUCUCCCUUCUCGGGAGACUCUCUCAACCCCNACGAACCCUUGACCUCAAAUCGGGUGAGACUACCCGCUGAACUUAAGCAUAUCAAUAAGCGGAGGAAAAGANAACUAACAAGGAUUCCCCUAGUAACUGCGAGUGAANGCGGGAAAAGCUCAAAUUUAAAAUCUGGCGGUCUUUGGUCGUCCGAGUUGUAAUUUAGAGAAGCGUCUUCCG
rnacentral:rRNA from 1 species